rnacentral:rRNA from 1 species
CCUACGGGAGGCAGCAGUAGGGAAUAUUGCUCAAUGGGGGAAACCCUGAAGCAGCAACGCCGCGUGGAUGAAGGAGGUUUUCGGCGCGUAAAGCCCUUUCGACAGAGAAGAAAAUGACGGUACCUGACCAAUAAGCCCCGGCUAACUCCGUGCCAGCAGCCGCGGUAAUACGGAGGGGGCAAGCGUUAUCCGGAAUUACUGGGCGUAAAGGGGGCGCAGACGGGAAUGCAAGGCAGUAGUGAAAGCCCGGGGCCCAACCCCGGGACUGCAUUUGAAACUGGAUGGCUGGAGUACAGGAGGGGUAGGUGGAAUUCGUGGUGUAGCGGUGAAAUGCGUAGAUAUCAGGAGGAAAACCGGUUGCGAAGGCGGCCUGCUGGACCGUGACUGACGCUGAUGCGCGAAGGCGUGGGGAGCAAACAGGAUUAGAUACCCCAGUAGUC